AAAAGUUUCCUCCCUUACAAAACAUUCAAUUACAUUCCAUUUAUAUCCAUAAUCCACCUGCGUGGCUCUGCUGAUAACACUUCUUAGAGCUAUUUUUCCUUCCUCUUAAGAAAAUGUGACUGCUUUUUAAUUGAGAAGCAAUCUCAUUGGGGAAUGGCAAACCCAGAGUUAUAUUCCCUGGAGAUUUCAAAGCAUGCAAUACAAUCACUAGUGGUAUGAACAGUGUAAAUGUGGAUCUACUUAAUCCCUGUUAAUCCCUGGGUUUUUUAGCACAUUGGUGUAACAACACUUGCACCUCCCAGCUGAGGCACCCUUGAGUAGACAGAUGUGAAUAGAUCAGAAAAAAAGUAUGGGUGGGUUCAGAGGGAGAAAGGAUGGACACUCCAGGAAAAGAGAUGAAGGAUGCCUGGGCACAGGUGUUUGCUCUCCUGCAAGGGGAAUAUCUCCACUUGUCCUUUUCAGCCACUCAUAGAGUGACUCCUGCUCUUUAUUUUCCCCCCAGUGAUUAGUCCUGGUGAGAAGCCCCUCAUUAUCAUGAUCCCAUGUCUGAGAAGACACCUUUUUUUCUGUUGGAUACAGACCUUGCCUCAUGGUCUGGACUGCCAGGGAGCUGCAGUGUGAUGGACUGGUGAUGAAUUUGAUGCAAUGUCCCACCAGUAACCUUGCUGUGGCUGUUUUCAGCUCGUGUUAGUUGGCACCUACCUCUGGGGCUUUCAGCACAUCUUCCCCAUCGUGUCCAGCACAUCCUCCCCUAGCAGCAGUCUGACUGCCAAGCCCCUGACAUGAAGGAAGAACACUCCCUGGAAAUGCUCCUUCCAGCAGAAGAGAAGAGAUAGGAAAGGUGGGAGGAGGACUGCUUGGUGCUGCUGAGAUCUGUGAUGGCAUCAACAGCCUGACAGAGCUGCUGCCAUGACCAGCCAAGCCCCUCACAGGACAGCCAGAGCCAGCGUCCCUGCUCCCCCACAGGCACUUUUGCCCUCUCUCAGGCUCCUAGCUGUCCUUCUGUACACAGCACCAUGGCUAAUCCGUGCCUCAUUUCUCCUUCAUUAUUAGGCUGCCUUGCAAAUGCUUGUUCUUAUCGAUCCCAUUUUCCAGAUCUUUUUCUAACACCCCUGCCUCUAGGCAGCCUAUUAGACCUCACACAGAAGCUGUCUAGACAAAUUCAGAAAAACUUGGAAAGCGCUUGGAUGGUACCACAAGAGGUUAGGCAGGAAAGUUAAUCAGGAAAUUGCUGUCCAUUUCCUCCACAGCACAGUUUGAACAGCGGAUUGUAAAUAAGGCAUGAGAUGCACUCUGAAUAAUGAAGAGAAAUGAUGAAAAGUAUGAAAUGGCUGAUCAUGAGAUCACAAUUUAUUUUAGAUGGUGAAUGUAGGAGAGGUUCCCAGGCAAAAAUUAGUAUGCAAGUAUGUAGGUACAAGAUGAAAGAUGGUAUCAUAAUACAUAUGAAAAUGGGAAUCAAAUGAAUAUUGCCCAGACAAUCCUAAGUCUAACCAUUCUUAUAUUCCAAGAGCUUAAUUUUGCUGUUUAAAAAUCCUCUUACAUUCAGAGGAUCAAGGUCUUAUUUUGUUAAUCUCUUGUAUGGAAAUGCUCCCAAUGUGGAAAAGAAAUUCAGUGACCAAUAAAACAGAUAAAAUAGCAUUCCAUGUUUUUGUCAUUUCGCUGAUGUUUGACUUGCCUGUAUAUUGAAGUGUGAGGUUUCAGCCACUUUUUUACUUAAGAGCUUUGCUGAGCAAGAAAAAAGAUCCCAGGAAAAGCCUAGUCACAUAAAAAAUGUUCUCUGCUUUUGGUAUAUUCAGCAUUUUUCCUGAGUAAAGUUCACCGAAUACUCAUAUAAAUAAAGUAAUUUUUUUGUUUAAUUGGAUUGAGCUUUGAGAGGGAGGAAGCCAAAUAAAUCUAUAAGUGGGGGAAGGGAAGGAUGGGGAAAAUUCUUCAAGGUAAAAUGAGAAAUGGUAACACUCUCACAGAAAUUUCCCAUGGCAGGGUAUUAUUUUUGGUGGUGGGGUUUUUUCCCAGACUCACAGACUUAAAGCUUGCCUAUCUCAUUCAUAACACAGGUCACAGGAUUUCAUCCAGCUGGUCCUGCUUAGGACAGUAUCUGAAAGUGCUGAAAUUAUCACAGGCAGACUCUGCUCCAGCUGAGUGGUGGGAUGAGGAGGAUCCUGAGGUAAUCAAUGAGAAGGAUAAAUGAUCUGCUCAGAGCAGUCUUUCUCCAUGAUGUCCCACAGCUCAACCUCAUCCAGACACAUGAAGGAGGGUUGGAGAAUGGCUGCCCAGUGUCUACAUGUCUCAUUAUAGCUCCUUCCCAGCUGGGUGUCUGCUGCACAUGAACUCUCUUCCAUCAUCCACCAUGAUAAUGAAGACAGUGAACAGAAAUAGUCCCAAGGAAAAAAUUCCCCUGCAGAAUCCAACUUGAAAUGCCUUCUCAUUUUGACAAGAGACAAUUGCAAACCAGUCAGUACAGUUUUUUCAAACACUUCAAUGAGACUUCAUGGCAAUUUCUUUUCUAAUGAAGAUUCACCCAAAAAAAGCAUCGAAUACUUCAAACACCUCUUCAUCAUGUUUUAUUUGUUCUCUGUGUCCAUUAAGUAAUGGAGCUACAACACCCUUUGCCUCACUCCUGCUUCUCACACAGUUAGGAGAAUUGUUCUUGUUGUUUUCUUGCCUUGUUUUUACGAUUUUUUUUUUAAUUUCAAGUAAUGACACACUCCUGGUGCAGCUGUACAGGGUUUACUGUGGAUUCUAUUGCUUGUCUGUACUGCUUUGCUUGUAAUAUAGCCAUCAGCUUUGCACUUUUUCACUUAGAAUUUCUUCCUGAGACUCUGCCUAACUGCUCUCUGAAUUUGCUGAAAUCUGCUUUUUUUAUUUAAAGACCAGAUUUUCAUUCUGUCACACCUAGACCCUGAUUUGUUCUUUGUCCUCAGUUUUAGUGGAAGAUGAAACAAGACACAGAGAAUGUCCAAUUCUAAUUUCAUGUAUUGCCCCUCUCCAGGGAAGAGAUGGAUGGGCAGGAUAAUCUGUUCUCUCUCCUGUGCUUGAUCUGUAGCUUAAGGACUUUGACUUACUGAGUUGUAAACCUGGUAGGUUUUAUGAGCACACCAAAGAAAAGGGGGUGAAGGGGAAAUCCUGUUAAUCAAGGCAGGGGCAUCUUAAUUGACACAGGAGAGAGUUAUGUUUUAAUUUGUUCUUUGAGAGAUGGACAUGACUAGCAGCAAUCUAGGAUUACUGGAUAACUUGAGCAGCUGUCAGAAUGGACAGAACAUCAUUUACUACAUCCAAAUCAGCUAUCGAGGGAAAGAAAUUUGGAAUUAAUCUAGUGGGAUCAGAAAUCAUCCAGAGACUUCAAUAAUAGAUGUGAAACAUUUAUUCUAACAUAGCAUUGAAAUUAGAAAUUAAAACCACUAAGGAAGUCAGGAAAUUGGCUGAGCACGUACCCUUGGCUCACUUUGCAUAGGAGUGCCCUUAGAGGAGGAGGCACAGAGUUUUGGGUGCCUGCUAACAUGUCACUGUCACUGUGAUGGAUGAGAGAAGCUCUUGGUGUGGGAAUUCAGGGGAAAAAGGGAAGUGUUGACUUUUUCAUUUUCUUAAUAAAUAAGGGUUAAAUACUGCAAAAAGAGAUUUAGAAAUAUUUCAAAACCUAAUUUUACUAUUUUAUCAGCUUAUAGAGGAAGAAUCAUAUAUGUGACUUUCUCAGGAACACUGGCAAAAAGCCACAUCACAAAAAUACUUCUUUGCACAUACAUCAAGAAGAGGCCAAGUGCAUUUCUGAUAUGUUUAUUAAUUCCUCCUAGACACUAAAGCCACUGCUUGAGUGAUGGUCACAAGCCUUACCCUGAAAGCUGUUGAGUAACAUCAGUAAAAUUCAGAAAGAAAUGUAGAUUGUCAGUGACUUAACUUUGUUGCCUGGAAAUUUUGACAAUCACUUAUUCAUCUGGAUACCUUUAUAAACCUCAACAUCUUUCUCCCUAUCUCUAGCACCAAGGUUUUUUCAGAUGAGGGUCUCCAAUAUCUGAGCAGAGAAGGGUUGUUUCACUUUGGAGUGAAAACAAGUGGAAAUGUAGUCUCCUUCCAGAUUUGGAAAUGCUGCUUCAGUGGUGACAAAGCACCUUUUGCAAACCUCUCAGCUGAGCUACAAAAAGGUUGGUCAGGGUUUUUCAAAUCAGCUGUACUCACUUGGAGUAAGGAGUAACCUAGCUUUCUGAGGCAAUUGCUUUUCUGCUCUCUUUCCCUAUCUCUUUUUCAGAGGCCAGGUUUGCAAGCAGCUUGACCUGUUUCUCAUUUUCAUGCCAAAUUGCUCCUUCACUUCAUCCUCUCCUCCAGGCAGAAAGAGGAGUAUGUGGAGGAGACUGUCAGGCUGAUGUUUCCUGACAGCCCUACAGAGCAUUGCUGCUUUCUAAGGAAAAUAAAGGCCAGCCAGACUGCCUUGCAAACAACAGCCCUGCCUCAGGAGGCUGCCCACCCAAAGGAUGGAGCAGAGCAGAACCGGAUCCAGCAGCCACUUCCCUGGAAUGCACAGGCUUAACCAGAGCGGCACUGGAG